rnacentral:piRNA from 1 species
GCGACUUGGACACGGCGGAGCACACGCUC